AGUGUUGCGCCGGAUGAACGGAUAACUCUGAUGACGUUAAUUAUGGAAUAAUACCCCAACACUC
rnacentral:tRNA from 1 species